UCAGCAGCCGCGGUAAUACGGAGGGUGCAAGCGUUAUCCGGAUUCACUGGGUUUAAAGGGAGCGCAGGCGGACUUGUAAGUCAGUGGUGAAAUACCUGAGCUUAACUCGGGAACUGCCAUUGAUACUAUAGGUCUUGAAUGUUGUUGAGGUUUGCGGAAUGGGUCAUGUAGCGGUGAAAUGCAUAGAUAUGACCCGGAACACCUAUUGCGAAGGCAGCAGGCUAAACAAAUAUUGACGCUGAGGCUCGAAAGCGUGGGGAUCAAACAGGAUUAGAUACCCUGGUAGUCCACGCCCUAAACUAUGAUUACUCGACAUACGCGAUACACUGUGUGUGUCUGAGCGAAAGCAUUAAGUAAUCCACCUGGGAAGUACGACCGCAAGGUUGAAACUCAAAGGAAUUGACGGGGGCCCGCACA
rnacentral:rRNA from 1 species